AUGAUUAUUAGUGAGAUUGGAUAUAGAUCAAAGAAUAGGACUUGGAUUUGUAGAACCUAUGAUGUUGUUAUUUUCUUAGUUAUUAGGUGAAGUAGUGGAGUGUGGCAUGUGAAUAUCUUUUGUAUGAAGAAUCUGAAAUGAUCCAAUUUGUGAUUGCUUUAGCAAUACUUUAGGUUGAUACAUUAUUAAAAAGAAUAGUGAUAAAUGAUAAGUAAUUAUAAAUUG
rnacentral:lncRNA from 1 species